GCCGGCGUGGUGAAAUUGGUAGACGCGCUAGACUCAAAAUCUUGUUCCUUCGGGAGUGUCGGUUCGAGUCCGACCGCCGGCACCA
rnacentral:tRNA from 1 species